rnacentral:rRNA from 1 species
CCAGCCGUAAACUAUGAACACUAGGUGUGGAGGGUAUCGACCCCCUCCGUGCCGCAGCUAACGCAAUAAGUGUUCCGCCUGGGGAGUACGGCCGCAAGGCUAAAACUCAAAGGAAUUGACGGGGGCCCGCACAAGCGGUGGAGCAUGUGGUUUAAUUCGAUGCAACGCGAAGAACCUUACCAGGGCUUGACAUCCCCCGACGCGCGUGGAAACAUGCGUUCGCCCUUCGGGGCGCGAGGAGACAGGUGG